UCUGUAGGCUGAUGAAGGUGCAUUGAGAAGUGUGCUGGAGGUAUCAGAAGUGCGAAUGCUGACAUGAGUAACGAUAAUGUGGGUGAAAAGCCCACACGCCGGAAGUCCCAGGUUUCCUGCACGACGUUAAUCGGAGCAGGGUGAGUCGGCCCCUAAGGCGAGGCUGAAGAGCGUAGUCGAUGGGAACCAGGUUAAUAUUCCUGGACUUUUUAUAAGUGGUGAAGUGGGGACGAAGAAGGCUAGGUGAGCCAGGCGUUGGUUGUCCUGGUACUUGCAUGUAGGGGGGAAGACUUGGCAAAUCCGGUUUUCCAUAACUCUGAGGUGCGAAGUGGUUCUGACCUUUUGGUACAGAGAAGUCAUUGAUGCCCGGCUUCCAGGAAAAGCUGCUAGCCAUAACUUAUAGAGAACCGUACCGCAAACCGACACAGGUGGACAGGUAGAGAAUACUAAGGCGCUUGAGAGAACUCGGGUGAAGGAACUAGGCAAAAUGGUACCGUAACUUCGGGAGAAGGUACGCCCUUUUGGGUGAGGGCAUUUACUGUCUGAGCUUAAGAGGGCCGCAGAGACCAGGUGGCUGCGACUGUUUAUUAAAAACACAGCACUCUGCAAAUUCGUAAGAAGACGUAUAGGGUGUGACGCCUGCCCGGUGCCGGAAGGUUAAUUGAUGGGGUUAUCUUCGGAGAAGCUCUUGAUCGAAGCCCCGGUAAACGGCGGCCGUAACUAUAACGGUCCUAAGGUAGCGAAAUUCCUUGUCGGGUAAGUUCCGACCUGCACGAAUGGCGUAACGAUGGCCACACUGUCUCCACCCGAGACUCAGUGAAAUUGAAAUCGCUGUGAAGAUGCAGUGUACCCGCGGCUAGACGGAAAGACCCCGUGAACCUUUACUAUAGUUUUGCACUGGACUUUGAUGAUGACUGUGUAGGAUAGGUGGGAGGCUGUGAAGUGAGGACGCUAGUUCUCAUGGAGCCGCCCUUGAAAUACCACCCUGUUGUUAUUGAGGUUCUAACUUGGUCCAGUAAUCCUGGAUGAGGACAGUGUAUGAUGGGUAGUUUGACUGGGGCGGUCUCCUCCCAAAGAGUAACGGAGGAGCACAAAGGUACCCUCGGUACGGUCGGACAUCGUACCAAGAGUGUAAAGGCAAAAGGGUGCUUGACUGCGAGAGUGACGGCUCGAGCAGGAACGAAAGUUGGUCUUAGUGAUCCGGUGGUUCUGAAUGGAAGGGCCAUCGCUCAACGGAUAAAAGGUACUCCGGGGAUAACAGGCUGAUACCGCCCAAGAGUUCAUAUCGACGGCGGUGUUUGGCACCUCGAUGUCGGCUCAUCACAUCCUGGGGCUGAAGCAGGUCCCAAGGGUAUGGCUGUUCGCCAUUUAAAGUGGUACGCGAGCUGGGUUUAGAACGUCGUGAGACAGUUCGGUCCCUAUCUGCCGUGGGCGUAGGAAAAUUGAGAGGAGCUGCUCCUAGUACGAGAGGACCGGAGUGGACGAACCUCUGGUGCACCGGUUGUCACGCCAGUGGCAUGGCCGGGUAGCUAAGUUCGGACGGGAUAACCGCUGAAAGCAUCUAAGCGGGAAGCCUCCCUCAAGAUGAGUUUUCCCAUGAAGCCCGUUGAAGACUACGACGUUGAUAGGCAAGGUGUGGAAGCGCAGUAAUGCGUGAAGCUAACUUGUACUAAUUGGCUGAUUGUCUUGACCAUAUAAUCUGAG
rnacentral:rRNA from 2 species